rnacentral:rRNA from 1 species
UACGUAGGUAGCGAGCGUUGUCCGGAAUUACUGGGUGUAAAGGGAGCGUAGGCGGGAAUUCAAGUUGAAUGUCAAAUUUAUGGGCUCAACCCAUAACCGCGUUCAAAACUGAAUUUCUUGAGUGAAGUAGAGGCAGGCGGAAUUCCUAGUGUAGCGGUGAAAUGCGUAAAUAUUAGGAGGAACACCAGUGGCGAAGGCGGCCUGCUGGGCUUUAACUGACGCUGAGGCUCGAAAGCGUGGGUAGCAAACA